GCGGGGACGAACAUCCGGAAACGGGUGCUAAUACCGCAUAGGAAGUUUGUUCGCAUGACAACUUAGAAAGAUGCUCUGCUAUCACUUAUCGAUGGCCUUGCGGUGCAUUAACUAGUUGGCGAGGUAACGGCUCACCAAGGUGAUGAUGCAUAGCCGACCUGAGAGGGUAAUCGGCCACAUUGGGACUGAGACACGGCCCAAACUCCUACGGGAGGCAGCAGUAGGGAAUCUUCCGCAAUGGACGCAAGUCUGACGGAGCAACGCCGCGUGAGUGAAGAAGGUUUUCGGAUCGUAAAACUCUGUUGUAAGAGAAGAACAAAUUGUAGAGUAACUGCUACAGUCUUGACGGUAUCUUACCAGAAAGCCACGGCUAACUACGUGCCAGCAGCCGCGGUAAAU
rnacentral:rRNA from 1 species